rnacentral:lncRNA from 1 species
CUGUCCUGAAUAAAACGUUUCUGUGCUUCCUCUUCCUACAGGGCAUUGUGUGGCCUGGCCCUGGUGUCUCCAACUCCAUCUGGCCUCUCUUUUCUACUUUUGUCUGCACUGUACCUAUCCUUGUCUUAACUGGGGCUGCCUCUGCCAAGAAUGUUCUUCUCCCCCUACUUGAUUCACCAUUUUACCAGGUAUAUUUUACAGUCAAAUGGCCGUGCAUUUUUGGUUGUGUGAAAUCAAUGUGGCUAAAACCUACUCUGCCCUUCUCGAAAUCCCAAAGGAAAUGUACUUUGUCUUUGGUUCCCUGAAUCAGUUAAUCCGGUGUGGUGAUUGUCUUCUUCCAUUAUACCAGUAAGACAAUAGCAACUGCAUAAUUCAUGUGAAGCAAGUUAUUCAGCCCCCAAAAGUAAAUUGCUCACAGUAAAGGAGAAACAUUGCUUUUUAUUAUUUUUCCAUAUAACCUGGUAUUAUUGCAUUGAAGAUAAACUGCCUCAAAUUCCAAUUUGCCAAACCAGAAUACUCUAAUAAAAGCAAGAUCUGUCAGGUGGCCAGAUUUAGCCUUUUCAUUACUUUGAAUCACUGGCAAAUAUGAAAAUUUUCUAAUAUAGUAAUAUUUUCAUUUCACAUUCUGUUCUGAACUGUGACUUGGGAAAAGUACAAGACCUCUAGAUCCAAUUUUGUCAUGUGGAAUGUUGUCCAUUUUGUUGUUCAUCAGUUUUUUUUUUUAAUGUUUCCCCAAAACACGAAUGACCUUUUAAGAGCACAGUCUGAAUUUCUGAUAUUUUGUUGAAUGUUCUUUGAACAUAUCUCAACCUCUUGAAUGAAUAUAUUCUGGAGCUGUUUGGCAAAACAGGCCUAUUAUUUUUCAUGUCAGAGAAGAAUUUUUUGAUUUUUGUUUCAUUUAAUUACUUACCAAUUUUGCAUAAUAAGCCCAUAUUAUUAAAAGAAAACAGUUUUGUUCUUUAUUUUUCUCUUUCCCAUCAUGAGCCAAUUUCAUUUUGCAUUUGAGAGUAACUUAGGAUUCUCUUGCCUGUUCUAAUUUGGAGGGGAGGGGAAGAGGAGUUAUAUAAGGGGGUUUUAAUCAACUCUAGAGCAUUUGGUCUUUAUUUUAGUACAGAGAGGGUAAGUUUCCACCUCCAACCAGCAAUAUAGAAACACUGUAAUACACCAUUAAUAAAUAAUAAAGGAGAUUUAAGUUCAAAAUCUAAUAAUUAAAUAUUUCUG